AGUGAACGCUGGCGGCGUGCCUAAUACAUGCAAGUCGAACGAUGAAGCUUUUAGCUUGCUAGAAGUGGAUUAGUGGCGCACGGGUGAGUAAGGUAUAGUUAAUCUGCCCUACACAAGAGGACAACAGUUGGAAACGACUGCUAAUACUCUAUACUCCUGCUUAACACAAGUUGAGUAGGGAAAGUUUUUCGGUGUAGGAUGAGACUAUAUAGUAUCAGCUAGUUGGUAAGGUAAUGGCUUACCAAGGCUAUGACGC
rnacentral:rRNA from 1 species